rnacentral:piRNA from 1 species
UGGACUCUGAGCAGGCGCAGAG